GCGGAGGAAAAGAAACCAACAGGGAUUGCCCUAGUAACGGCGAGUGAAGCGGCAACAGCUCAAAUUUGAAAUCUGGCGUCUUUGGCGUCCGAGUUGUAAUUUGCAGAGGGCGCUUUGGCAUUGGCAGCGGUCCAAGUUCCUUGGAACAGGACGUCACAGAGGGUGAGAAUCCCGUACGUGGUCGCUAGCCUUUACCGUGUAAAGCCCCUUCGACGAGUCGAGUUGUUUGGGAAUGCAGCUCUAAAUGGGAGGUAAAUUUCUUCUAAAGCUAAAUACUGGCCAGAGACCGAUAGCGCACAAGUAGAGUGAUCGAAAGAUGAAAAGCACUUUGGAAAGAGAGUUAAAAAGCACGUGAAAUUGUUGAAAGGGAAGCGCUUGCAGCCAGACUUGCCUGUAGUUGCUCAUCCGGGUUUUUACCCGGUGCACUCUUCUACGGGCAGGCCAGCAUCAGUUUGGGCGGUUGGAUAAAGGUCUCUGUCAUGUACCUCCUCUCGGGGAGAACUUAUAGGGGAGACGACAUGCAACCAGCCCGGACUGAGGUCCGCGCAUCUGCUAGGAUGCUGGCGUAAUGGCUGUAAGCGGCCCGUCUUGAAACACGGACCAAGGAGUCUAACAUCUAUGCGAGUGUUUGGGUGUCAAGCCCGAGCGCGUAAUGAAAGUGAACGGAGGUGGGAACCUUUCGGGGUGCACCAUCGACCGAUCCUGAUGUCUUCGGAUGGAUUUGAGUAAGAGCAUAGCUGUUGGGACCCGAAAGAUGGUGAACUAUGCUUGAAUAGGGUGAAGCCAGAGGAAACUCUGGUGGAGGCUCGCAGCGGUUCUGACGUGCAAAUCGAUCGUC
rnacentral:sRNA from 1 species